CAAUGAAAGAAACAUGGUAAUGUACACAUAAAUUGAAUUGGAUUUAUAGGCAUGUCCUCUCUAAUGUCAUUUGGCUUUGAUUUGGAGACAUGAUUCCACAACAAAAUA